rnacentral:rRNA from 1 species
CAGUCGCCGCGGUAAUACGUAGGGCGCAAGCGUUGUCCGGAAUUAUUGGGCGUAAAGAGCUCGUAGGCGGCCUGUUGCGUCCGCUGUGAAAUCCCGGGGCUCAACCCCGGGCGUGCAGUGGAUACGGGCUGGCUAGAGGCAGGCAGGGGAGAACGGAAUUCCCGGUGUAGCGGUGAAAUGCGCAGAUAUCGGGAGGAACACCGGUGGCGAAGGCGGUUCUCUGGGCCUGUUCUGACGCUGAUGCACGAAAGCUAGGGGAGCAAACAGGAUUAGAGACCCCAGUAGUCCCUGUCUCUUAUAC